AUGGAGGGCUGGUUAAGUUUGUGUUUCAUAGCACUAUGCACGCUAGUGGCCCUUUGGUUUAGCAAGCUUUCUUGUGGAAACAGAAAGCCACGGCUGCCUCCUGGGCCAUGGACUCUUCCGAUCAUCGGCAGCCUCCACCAAGUCGCCAGUGUGCUCCCGCACCGCAGGAUGAUGGACUUGUCACGCCGGUAUGGGCCGCUGAUGCACCUUAUGCUCGGCGAGGUCCCCACGGUGAUCGUCUCCAGCGCCGAGGCGGCGGCGUUGGUGAUGAAGACCAACGACCUCGCCUUCGCUGGCCGGCCGCACAGUGCGACGCUGGACAUCUUCGGCUGCAGCGGGAGGGGCAUCGUCUUCGCCCCCUACGGUGACCCAUGGCGCCAGAUGCGCAAGGUCUGCACCAUGGAGCUCCUCAGCUCCAAGCAGGUGAAGCGUAUGGACGCCAUCAGGCCAGAGCAGGUGGGCAACCUUCUCCGUUAUGUCGCGGCCGCAGCAUCCACGGGCGCCGCCGUCGAUGUCAGUGAGAAGGUGAUGGCGCUCAGCAACGACGUGGUAUCGCGGGCGGUGUUCGGCGGCAAGUUCCCGCAGCAGGAGGAGUACCUACGAGAGCUGGAUGAGGCGUUCGUGCUGCUAGGUGGUUUCUGCCUCGUCGACCUCUUCCCGUCAUCGCGGCUGGUGCGGUGGCUGAGCAACGGUGAGCGCCACAUGAGGAGGAGCUAUGGCCACAUCCAACGUAUCAACGCCGACGUCAUCAAGGGGCGCAAGGCGGCGCGAGCUGCCGCACAGGACGAUGCCUCCAGCACCGACGAUGAUGACUUGCUGGACGUGCUACUCAGGCUGCAGGAGAAGGACGCGUUCACAUUCCCUAUGACCACGGAGAGUAUAGGCGCCGUCUUAUUUGACAUAUUUGCAGGUGCCACUCAGACCACGGGAGUUGCCUUGGAGUGGGCGAUGGCUGAGCUUGUCCGUCAUCCCGAAACCAUGGCCAAAGCACAGCUUGAGAUCCGAGAGGUGCUAGGUCAAGGUCGAGCUGUGUUUACUAAUAGUGACCUCGCCGGACUCCAUUACAUGCGGAUGAUCAUUAAGGAGGUUCUUAGAUUGCAUCCACCAGGUCCUUUGAUCCCCCGCAGGGCCAGGGAAGACCGUAAAGUUAUGGGUUUUGACAUGCUUGAAGGCACCAAUGUAUACAUUAAUGCGUUUGCAGUUUCUAGGGAUCCAAAUUGUUGGGAAAGUCCUGAAGAGUUUAAGCCUGAAAGGUUUGAGAACAAUAACAUGGAUUACAAUGGGACAUACUUUGAAUUCACCCCCUUCGGUGCUGGUCGGAGGCAGUGCCCUGGCAUACUUUUUGGCACGUCAACCAUGGAGAUCGCUUUGGCAAAUCUUCUCUACCACUUCGACUGGGUGCUUCCUGACAAGGCAAAUCCAGAAUUUUUGGACAUGACCGAGAAAUACGGGAUCAUCGUAGGAAGAAAAUAUGACCUACAAUUGAUACCCAUUUCCCAUGGAGGUUUCCAUGACAUAUAG
rnacentral:rRNA from 1 species